rnacentral:rRNA from 1 species
AACGAACGCUGGCGGCAUGCCUAACACAUGCAAGUCGAACGAUGCCUUCGGGCAUAGUGGCGCACGGGUGCGUAACGCGUGGGAAUCUGCCUUUCGGUUCGGAAUAACUCAGGGAAACUUGAGCUAAUACCGGAUAACGUCGCAAGACCAAAGAUUUAUCACCGAAAGAUGAGCCCGCGUAGGAUUAGCUAGUUGGUGAGGUAAAGGCUCACCAAGGCGACGAUCCUUAGCUGGUCUGAGAGGAUGAUCAGCCACACUGGGACUGAGACACGGCCCAGACCCCUACGGGAGGCAGCAGUGGGGAAUAUUGGACAAUGGGCGAAAGCCUGAUCCAGCAAUGCCGCGUGAGUGAUGAAGGCCUUAGGGUUGUAAAGCUCUUUUACCCGGGAAGAUAAUGACGGUACCGGGAGAAUAAGCCCCGGCUAACUCCGUG